UGCCUUUUUUUUGGUGAGGCAUUUUACAGUCAUGAAGGAAGACCAGGGAGCCCAAGGAGGAGAAUGUGACACUAGGAUCAACUGUAUGAGAGGGAGAGAAUGUUUUCGAUGUCGCCCACAUCUUUGCAUCUUUUAAUGAUACUUUUAUCCAUGUGACAGAUUUAUCUGGAAGAGAAACCAUGGUCCACGUUACUGGCGGGAUGAAAGUCAAGGCAGACAGGGAUGAGUCCUCUCCCUAUGCUGCCAUGCUUGCAGCACAAGAUGUUGCACAACACUGCAAGGUAUGCACUUCCAUUUCCACUCUCACUAGUUGGUAUUUAGGUGAAAUUGGUAAAUCAUUGGUUGAGAUUGCUUUCACUCUUGUGAAUUGACUAAGGUCAUUGGUAUGCAUGUACAUGCAUCCAUUGUGUGAACUGGAAAUCUUCUUCAAUAGUUAUUUAGGAUUCAUGCAUG